rnacentral:rRNA from 1 species
AUUGAACGCUGGCGGCAUGCCUUACACAUGCAAGUCGAACGGUAACAGGUCUUCGGAUGCUGACGAGUGGCGAACGGGUGAGUAAUACAUCGGAACGUGCCCGAGAGUGGGGGAUAACGAGGCGAAAGCGUUGCUAAUACCGCAUACGAUCUCAGGAUGAAAGCAGGGGACCGCAAGGCCUUGCGCUCACGGAGCGGCCGAUGGCAGAGUAGGUAGUUGGUGGGAUAAAAGCUUACCAAGCCGACGACCUGUAGCUGGUCUGAGAGGACGACCAGCCACACUGGGACUGAGACACGGCCCAGACUCCUACGGGAGGCAGCAGUGGGGAAUUUUGGACAAUGGGCGCAAGCCUGAUCCAGCCAUGCCGCGUGCAGGAUGAAGGCCUUCGGGUUGUAAACUGCUUUUGUACGGAACGAAAAGACUCUGGUUAAUACCUGGGGUCCAUGACGGUACCGUAAGAAUAAGCACCGGCUAACUACGUGCCAGCCGCCGCCGUAAGAC